AUUUGUGGAACAAGAAUGUAAAGUAAGUUUCAUAAUAACUAAGAUUUGUAAAGACUGAAAUGCCAAGGAGUGCAAUAACACAGACGUCGUUUUUCAAGAAAUUGAUGCACGGAAACUGGUGAGAGGACCUGCAAGAAAAAGCAGAUGAGGUCUAAAAGGAGGUACUGCCAUAAUCAAACAGGAAGGGGAGAAACCUCACUUCUGGGUUAUCUUGGAUUAACCCGGUAGUUAUCUUGGGCUAAGAACUCGGGAGAACGAGCCACAAUCAGGAACUGAAGGGUUGCGCGUAUUACAGUGGACUAAGCCAACAAGUUUGUCACCUGGAUCCACUGACUGUAAAGGUUAUCCACAGCUAGCCAUUUCUUGAAGGGGAAAUUUGAAGGAAAUUCUCCAAAAAUGUUCUGCAACACUUUUCAGAAAGGUAGGUGC